CAGUAGCCGCGGUAAUACGAAGGGUGCAAGCGUUACUCGGUAUUACUGGGCGUAAAGCGUGCGUAGGUGGUGGUUUAAGUCCGUUGUGAAAGCCCUGGGCUCAACCUGGGAAUUGCAGUGGAUACUGGGUCACUAGAGUGUGGUAGAGGAUAGUGGAAUUUCCGGUGUAGCAGUGAAAUGCGUAGAGAUCGGAAGGAACAUCUGUGGCGAAGGCGACUAUCUGGGCCAACACUGACACUGAGGCACGAAAGCGUGGGGAGCAAACAGGAUUAGAUACCCGAGUAGUCCCUGUCUCUUAUAC
rnacentral:rRNA from 1 species